rnacentral:rRNA from 1 species
UGCCAGACUCCUACGGGAGGCAGCAGUGAGGAAUAUUGGUCAAUGGGCGAGGGCCUGAACCAGCCAAGUCGCGUGAGGGAUGACGGCCCUACGGGUUGUAAACUUCCUUUGUCAGGGAGCAAUUGGGUCCACGCGUGGGCUUAGCGAGAGUACCCGGAGAAAAAGCAUCGGCUAACUCCGUGCCAGCAGCCGCGGUAAUACGGAGGAUGCGAGCGUUAUCCGGAUUUAUUGGGUUUAAAGGGUGCGCAGGCGGAUUUUUAAGUCAGCGGUCAAAUCGUGGGGCUCAACCCCAUCCAGCCGUUGAAACUGGGGAUCUAGAGUGUGCGAGAGGUAUGCGGAAUGCGUGGUGUAGCGGUGAAAUGCAUAGAUAUCGCGCAGAACUCCGAUUGCGAAGGCAGCAUGCCGGCUCCACACUGACGCUGAGGCACGAAAGCGUGGGUAUCGAACAGGAUUAGAUACCCCGGUAC